CCGCGCCCGCCCCCAGUCCUCCGUCCGCGGGGCCCCACCGCGGUCACGUGAAGGGCCGAGCGGAGCGCGCCGAGCCCGGCCUGCUGCCGCCCGAGGGCAGAGUCCGCUGCCCGCGGCCCCGACUUUCCCCCAUUCCCGCUCCGCGCGCCGCCGCCGCGAUGCCCGGGGCCCACCGAGCCGCUGGGCUGCAUCGCCCACACCCGUCCUCCCCCGAGGAGCCGCCGGCCCAGGAGGACCUUCUCCUGGCAGCUGCCUAUGUUUCUGACGCUCAGUACAACAGAAACGUUCCAUUUGAAACAUCCCCUCAGGCUGUCAGACUUUACCAUUUCUAUAACCACUGGACAAUGCGGGCGGCCACCUACUUCUUCAUUUGGGGGGACCUCGCUCUUGCCCUCUUUGAGGAACCGGCCCUGUUCCCCCUGCCUUUCUUGGCUACCUCGAUAGCAGAAGUACUCUGUCUGACUGCAUUCUCUGGGAGACUUGUACACUUUGCGAAAGUCACUCCUCAGAUGGUUUUCUGGAAGGAUACGAAAAACAUCUGCAUCGUGGUAACCAUAGUGCUGACCUUGAUUGAUCUGAUUAUCUAUGGGUCCCUGGAGGCUGUUAACAUCCACGGAGUUCGAUGGUCAAGGGCCUUGAGGCCAGUCUUCCUAAUUAAUUUCCCUGAAAGUCGUCAGAUCCGAAGGGCUUUUCGAAGCAUCCGGAACACUCUGCCUGAUAUCCUCUACGUCUUCCUCUUGUUCAUCUUCAGCAUGUUGAUAUUCUCCCUCAUGGCCUUGAAGCUUUUUGGGGAUAGGGGUCUCAAAACAGUGGAAGGAUCACCCUACUUCACCAACAUCCUGGACAUAGCAUUUGAGCUCUACGUGCUGGUCACUACCGCAAACAGCCCCGAUGUCAUGAUGCCUGCCUAUGAGUUCAAUUGGUGGUAUUCUCUGUACUUUAUAACCUACAUCAUCAUCAACACCUACAUCUUCAUGUCCGUCUUUCUGGCCGUUGUCUACAACAAUUAUAGGAAGCACUUAAAGCGUGGAGUUUGGACCUGUCUGCCUCCUGGUGCUCUGUUUCUCACCACACGGGUUAUCCUUCCUGGGUUCCCUCAUUUGCACUUGAAUGAGAUUCGCACACUGGCAUACCUGAAGCGUCACAAAAUGAUAGAGGCUUUCAACAUUCUGAAAGUCAAGGUGGGCACAGAGUUUGUGGUGAAGGAGGCCCAGUGGAGGCAGCUGGCCAAGAUCGUGGCGCCAGACAUCAGCAGUUCCCACCUGGAGCUCCUUCUGAGGAUCUCCGACGAGGGACAGAAGGGUUAUGUGGACAAAAUGAACUUUCUACGCUUGGCUGACCUCCUCAACAUCCAGGUGGUCACCAUCAACAUCAAGAGACACCCGCUGGAAGCCUGGAUGCCUCGGGUAUACCAGUCGUCCCCAAGCCUCUUGGUUCAGAAGGUGGUUCGGCACAGGAUUUUUGUCUGGGUUUAUGAUGUCAUCAUUCUAAUAAAUGCCAUAUUCAUUGCUUUGGAUGAGAAAAACCCCUUAAUUUCCUAUGCAGAAUGGCUUUUCCUUUCUCUCUAUAUUAUUGAAAUUCUCCUGAAAUUGUACACGUACGAACCCAGAGCCUAUUUUGGAAGGAAGCAGUUCUGGAACUGGUUUGAUACGCUGAUCAUCAUCGCAGCCCUGGUGGCCACUGUGGCCAACACCACCAUUCAGUCAGCGAGAAAAUACAACAGUCAGCAGAUACUGGAUAUUGUCUUGAUUUUGAGAAUACUCCGGCUCUUACGGAUCAUUGUCAGCAUUCAGAGAUUCCGGGUGAUCGUGACCACCUUAAUUAACAUCGGCCCCACGAUGCUGACGUUUGGCGGUUUGGUCUUGGUGGUCUACUACGUGUUUGCCAUCAUCGGGAUGGAAGUGUUCCACGGCAAAGUCCACUUCUUUGACCCCAGUUCCACCAGUCCUGAUGCCCUGGAGUGUGGGAACCCAGCCCUAAAAGACUCAGCGUUUGCCCGAGGCAGGUACUGCAGGAACAACUUCAAUGACCUGGCUGCCUCUCUCAUCCUGCUGACAGAGCUCACCGUGGUUAACCAGUGGCACGUCCUCGCAGAUGGCUUUGCCCUCGUGACUCACCAGGCGUCAAAGCUGUAUUUCAUCGGCUUCCACGUCGUGGUCGUCAUCCUCAUUGUUAAUAUUUUCAUAGCGUUCAUCUUGGAAGCGUUUUUUGUGGCAUAUUCGUUAGAAAAAAGUGAAGUGGAAACUGCCAUUGAGAAGAAGAUUCAAGAGCUUGGAGUUGGGGUCCAAGAGGAAGAAGUGCAGGAUGGGAAGCUCAUUGACAAUGUGGACGCCAAGGACAGUGGCUUCAGUGGGGACGAUGGAGACAACAAAAGGAAGGCCUUGAAAGGACUGUACUUUAGAAUUGCAUCAAAAAAGUACAAGACCGUGGAUGCUUUGCUGCAGCAGAUGUUUGAGUCUGAAAUAGCUCCAGAGGAUGAAGGCCCUUCCUUGGAGGAGAUUCUGAACUUCUCACCCAGUGACAUACAUCCCAAGAAUCCCAGUUUUGAAAACAGUGCCUGACCCUGGGCCUGUAAGGGCCACAGGCAUGCACAACUGGAAACCAAGAUAAGCUGUCCUCACUGUUUGCAGAUGCUACCUAGAGGUUACUUUCCCAGCCCAGGUUCUCUUCUGUGUUCUGAUAAGACUGUGAAUCGGCCUCCCCUGCCCUGAGUGGUCAGCUCUGUGUGCUCUCCUGAGGUCAUGCUUAGGGCUGACCAUGGAGGUGAGGAAAGGAAAAUCUACAAGGAGACUGGAGAGCACUUACCAUACAAGUGUUUGUACGUGUGUAAAUCCUCUCAGUGGCUCCUGGCGGCCACCAUUCUACUUUCUGUCUCUGUGAAUUUGGCUACUCCUGAUCACAACUGCAUUGUGAGCAAGUCUUGCCCGUGGGAACGAUGUCCACCUCUGCUGGGAUAUGACAGCAAUCAAAACAUCCUGGAAGCCUUCUGUUGAGGACGGCAGGGUCGGGGCCAGUAAAGGAUCGCCCAUCCCAGACUGUUAACGUGAGAUCAAAAUCACUUGUGUCUUCUCUAAGCUGCCCUGUGUGGGUUCUGUUACCGGAGCUUAGCCUGCCUGCAGCCUGACCAAUCCAGAAAUGGGUUCAUCUGAACCAUUCGGAAUGGAACCAACGGGACAGAUGGACUCAGUGGAGGGAUGAGGUAAAAGGAGGACCAGGGGCACUGACUCCUGGGACCAGUGGCAGGGAAGCAGCUUUGCAGGUGUGUUUGCAUAUCGUGCUGAUGCCCAUGCAUCUUGGAGCAUUAUUUCUGAUAGGCCCGGACCACACUUUUGGUGUCUCAGGUGCGUCUUAUGAAAAAAUACAUUUUAGAACCAUUGCCUUAGACACAGAUAUAAUCCAGGGUGAGAAGGCACUGGUAACAGGAGUCUCUGAGUCUCUGGAGUAACCAACCUUGUUCUUAGCUGGGACUUAGCACGUGGAGCGGGGCUGCCGAGAAUGAAUGGGAAAGGCCUUGGCCGGAGUAGGUAUUAAAUCAGAACCUAGGCUGAAUCUAGCUGGUGUUUGGGCACUUAGGAUGAGCUGGGCCCUUGCUCAGCUCUGUCCCUGGGGAAACUCCAUCUCCUUAGUGGGUGAGCUGGACGUUUCUUUGCCUUCCAACUCUGAUGUCUGUGGCAUCCGUCUCGGUGGCCCUGUAGAUGCAGAGCUUAUUUCCUUGUGCAGAUGAACUGUGUGUUUUUGUGUAUAAUUUAUAAUGAAAUGAAGAUGAUCACUGUAGUUUGUACCAGGAAAUGGACCAAGAAACCCACCUACUUUCCUGAAGUGCUUAAAGCAACUUCUUUCAUUUGGAUGGAGCCUUCCUCCCUGGGGGCAAGGCUGUUGCUUAGGAAAUCUGACUGUGAAGUUUAUGUAAGCGGAGCCCUUGGCAUAGACUGGGCACCAGAUGGGCAGCAGCAGUGCUGAGAUGACGCUGGUCAGGUUGAAGUUGUUGGUGUGAAUGGCAUAGAAGGUAUCUUGGGUGCGAUAGGAGUUGAAGAUCCAGUAACAGCAAACGGGCUGGCGGGGACGCAGGAUAUGUUGACAGGGGCUGGAAGCCGAGGCCAAGUGUCCUCUCUGCCCAAGACUGAAGGCACCCACAGCUGCCUUUCAUGGAUGGACACAUUUCGUUAUUAGUUUAGUAAAAUAGCACCCUUAUCUACUUUAGUCUUGUUUCCUUUGAAAACAGACAUUUUCAAGAGGAAAAAUUUUAAAAUCCCACAAAUCUGGCUUUAUCAAUGCUCACUUUUGACACUUUAAGAGUAAAUUUAAUGUUGGUUUGUCUGAUGAGGUCUUGUCCCUGGAUCAACUUCCUUCCAAUUUCAGUGUAUGUGUAAUCAAUCGCAUAGGUUACGUUCUUUAUUUUCAAAAUAAAGCAUAUUUGGAAUCCCAUUCUAUUAAUUUAUCCUGCAGACACAUUUGUAUCUGCAGUCACUUUUUUGUAGCAAUAAAAUUGUGAAACUAAUUGUCUCUAAAUAGAGAAUUGUUUAACUAAAAUAUGGUACAUUCAUAUAGGGGAAUGGCAUAUAGCUGGUCCAAUACAGAUGAAAAGAGGGGCAAGAAAACUGAAAUAAUGUUGUGAUUCACACUUGCAAAAAGAAAUGAAUGGAUACUUCUUCAACGUGAUUAAAAAAGGCUACCUCAGGCCAGCCUCAUGAGCUUACUGGAUAAACAUGGGAGGAGCUCCUUCUAAAGCAGGAGACAGAGACGUCCAGCACCAUCCCUGUUUAGCCCUCUUCUCAUGGUCCUGGGCAAUGGCGAAGGGAAGAGAAAAAUCACCAGCGAAAAACUGGCAAAGAUAUAAAAUAAGCGGCAUUUUCAUAGUGAUGGUUAUUUACUUGGAAACUUCAAAAGAGUCAACUGAAAAGCUUUUUAUAUAAAUCAGUAGUCUUCAUAUAGUCAAAGUACCAGCUAGAAAAAACAAGAAAAAGUGACAUCUGAUUUAAAACAACCAAAAGUUUAGUCUUAAAUAUUUAAAUCAGUACUAAUAUUAAAAACAUUAGAAGACUCUUUUCUUAUUCUCUCAAUCGAAGAUGGCAUUUUAAGAUGCAAAAGCCAAAAAAGCCUUUAAAAAACUUUAUAAAUCAGAGUACGAAACAAAAUUAAAAAUCUUCAUGUCAACAGAAAUCUUAAGAGACAGACGACCAAUUGGGAGAAAUACAAAGGGGUCCUACAACUUAAACUGAAAAAGAGCAAUCCCAGGUGAGAAACUGACAAAGGAUAGAGUUCACGGAAAAAGAAAAAAACACAUAGCUCUUGAAUAUAUGAAUAUAUUUGGCCUAAUUCAGAAGAGAAUGCAAAUGAAGACCACAAGGAAAUACCAUUUUGUCACCUGUCAGAGUGGCAAGGGUCAAAGAGCCUGACAUGUCCUGUUGGUGGAGGUGUGGGGAACAGACUCUGAUCCCUGCUGGUACAGCCCUACAGGGGGAUUAUGUGCAAUACUGAGACAAAAAUUUAAAUGCCCUUACCUUUGACCCAGCAAUUUCGCUUCUAGGAUUUUACACUACAAGUUAUGGCUAUAUAUCAUACAACCAAAUAUUACACAGCCAUCACAAGAAUGAGACCAUUCUAUAUGUACUUACAUUCUCCACCAUACAUUAGGUGAAAAAAAGCAGAAUUAUGCUAGCUUUGUCAAAAAACAUUAUAUAUAUAUAUAUUCAUGGAAUAAUUUUUGGAAAGGUCAGAAAACGUGGGCUGAGGUUGUCUCUGGAAUGGGGAACCUGGUGGCUGGGAGUUAGGGUGGAAGCGGAAGCCAGUCACUGUGUCUUCUUGAACUGGGUGUCCCCUCACAUUUGUCUUCAUCACGUGCUAAGGGAAGAGGGAGGGAUAGAGGAGGGAAGGUCAAUUCAGGUUAUAGGACCCUUCCAGCUUUAAGUCAAUAAACGCUAAGUUGGCUGCUAUAAUUUCAGAGCUAAUUAAUGAUGCAUGGAGCUUACAUGAUUAUUUUCAAGAUCUGAGAUAUUCUUUUGAAUCAUGCUUUUAAAAAACAAAGCUUAAGAUUUAUACCUGCAAUAUUUCCCAUGGAUAGCAAUGAAGAACAAGUACAAUAAAGGACAGGCACAUUCAAUUCAUAAAAACAUUAAGUCUGCUAAAUAUAUUUGGGGAAUUUUUAUUUUACACAAAUAUAAACCCCCAAAUUUAGAAAAAAACAAACAAACCUGACUUGGCUCUUUUUUGGCUUAAAGUGAACAGGUCAGUGCUUAAAAAGUGCUUUUAGAGAAUGUUCUCUUGCCGAUUACUCUCAUGAAUGCUUGCAUCCCAAGAGCUGCCCAGUCAGCCUGCUACGCAGGGAUGUUACUGUGUUGUGUAUUUUGUUGAAAUAUUUGUAACAACUAUGUCCCAGGGAUAUACUUUGUGGGCUUUAUUUUUAAGAAACAUUUACAUAAACAAUAAAUGUGGAAACAUCAAGGUUCACAGUGAGCAGGCCAGCAUUUACAAAGCGACUUUUAGGAAGUGUCCAUAUUUUAUUUUCGAGAACGCUUAUAUUCUAAGAGCAGUACAAUUAGCCUAUUACGAAGGGUCUUAAUCUUGUUUGUAUAGUGUUCUUGAAAUACUUUCUUCAGCUUCUGCCUUAACAAAUCCAAAGAUGGAAGAUGAUGACAAUCUGGUAUAUUCAACAUUAUGUGAAAAAAUUCAUUCCACAUAUCCAGAUGAGGAAGCCUGGAGAGACAAAGCAUAAAUGAAGGAUAAAAUGUAGCCUUCAGGGCUUCCCUGGUGGCUCAGUGGUUAAGAAUCCACCUGCCAAUGCAGGGGACACGGGUUCAAGCCCUGGUCUGGGAAGAUCCCACAUGCUGCAGAGCAACUCAGCCCAUGCGCCACAACUACUGAGCCUGCGCUCUAGAGCCUGUGAGCCACAGCUACUGAGCCCACGUGCCACAACUACUGAAGCCUGUGGGCCUAGAGCCCAAGCUCCACAAAAAGAGAAGCCACCUCAAUAAGAAGCCCACGCACUGCAACGAAGAGUAGCCCCUGCUUGCCGAAACUAGAGAAAGCCCGUGUGCAGCAACAAAGACCCAAUGCAGCCAAUAAAUAAAUAAAUUAAUUAAUUAUUUUUUUAAAAAGUAGCCUUCAGCGUGCAGGGCAAUCGCACUCUUACAUCUGACUUAACUCUAACCUCAACCCAACCUAAUGCAUCAAGAAUGGAUAUGUUGGUGGGAAUGUAAAUUGAUACAACCACCAUGGAAAACAGUAUGGAGGUUCCUUAAAAAACUAAAAAUAGAACUACCAUAUGACCCAGCAAUCCCACUACUGGGCAUAUACCCUGAGAAAACCAUAAUGCAAAAAGAGUCAUGUACCACAGUGUUCAUUGCAGAACUACUAUUUACAAUAGCCAGGACAUGGAACCAACCUAAAUGUCCAUUGACAGAUGAAUGGAUAAAGAAGAUGUGGCACAAUGGAAUGAAGCAAAUCAGAAAGAGAAAAACAAAUACCAUAUGCUAACGCAUAUAUAUGGAAUCUAAAAAAAAAAAAAAAAGGUACUGAUGAACAUAGUUGCAGGGCAGGAAUAAAGAUACAGACAUAGA